rnacentral:rRNA from 1 species
AUUGAACGCUGGCGGCAGGCCUAACACAUGCAAGUCGAGCGGAUGAAGGGAGCUUGCUCCUGGAUUCAGCGGCGGACGGGUGAGUAAUGCCUAGGAAUCUGCCUGGUAGUGGGGGAUAACGUCCGGAAACGGGCGCUAAUACCGCAUACGUCCUGAGGGAGAAAGUGGGGGAUCUUCGGACCUCACGCUAUCAGAUGAGCCUAGGUCGGAUUAGCUAGUUGGUGGGGUAAAGGCCUACCAAGGCGACGAUCCGUAACUGGUCUGAGAGGAUGAUCAGUCACCCGGGACCUGAGCACCGUCCCGACCUCCUACGGGAGGCAGCAUGGGGAAUUUUGGGACAAUGGGCGAAAGCCUGUUCAGCCAUGCCGCGUGUGUGAAGAAGGUCUUCGGAUUGUAAAGCACUUUAAGUUGGGAGGAAGGGCAGUAAGUUAAUACCUUGCUGUUUUGACGUUACCAACAGAAUAAGCACCGGCUAACUUCGUG